rnacentral:rRNA from 1 species
GCAGUCGAGCGAGCGAUUUAAAUGAGACUUCGGUGGAUUUUAAAUUGACUGAGCGGCGGACGGGUGAGUAACGCGUGGAUAACCUGCCUCACACAGGGGGAUAACAGUUAGAAAUGACUGCUAAUACCGCAUAAGCGCACGGUACCGCAUGGUACAGUGUGAAAAACUCCGGUGGUGUGAGAUGGAUCCGCGUCUGAUUAGGUAGUUGGUGAGGUAACGGCCCACCAAGCCGACGAUCAGUAGCCGACCUGAGAGGGUGACCGGCCACAUUGGGACUGAGACACGGCCCAAACUCCUACGGGAGGCAGCAGUGGGGAAUAUUGCACAAUGGGCGAAAGCCUGAUGCAGCAACGCCGCGUGAGUGAAGAAGUAUCUCGGUAUGUAAAGCUCUAUCAGCAGGGAGGAAAAUGACGGUACCUGACUAAGAAGCCCCGGCUAACUACGUGCCAGCAGCCGCGGUAAUACGUAGGGGGCAAGCGUUAUCCGGAUUUACUGGGUGUAAAGGGAGCGCAGACGGCACUGCAAGUCUGAAGUGAAAGCCCGGGGCUCAACCCCGGGACUGCUUUGGAAACUGUAGAGCUAGAGUGCUGGAGAGGCAAGCGGAAUUCCUAGUGUAGCGGUGAAAUGCGUAGAUAUUAGGAAGAACACCAGUGGCGAAGGCGGCUUGCUGGACAGUAACUGACGUUCAGGCUCGAAAGCGUGGGGAGCAAACAGGAUUAGAUACCCUGGUAGUCCACGCCGUANACGAUGAAUACNAGGUGUUGGUGGGCAAAGCCCAUCGGUGC